GAAGCCUCAAGCCUGAAGCAUUGAACGUCACCUAGAGCCUGUUCAUUUGAUCUGACAGCACUAGAGAGGAAUGCAGAGGCAGAAACACGAACAUCCCAACUCUUGCCACAGGUGCUAGAACGAAAACAGGAACCUUUCAUAAGCAAACGACUGAUGCCACAGGAAUUGUUCUCCAUGCUUUACAAGGAAAGAAAUGCCAGAAAGACGGUGAGUGGCUUGCUCUCGACCAACUGUACCAGUGGUGACAGGUCACAGCUAGGACCUUGGGCUUGCCUCG